AAAGGGGAAGCUUAAAGAUGUAAGCCGGUCAUUCCUAUACUUUUUUAGCAAUUUACCUUUUGAAUUGAUUGAACACCGCCUAAUGUCUGAAAAAAUGCAUCCUUGUUAUUAGCAAAGCCCGGAUGCUCAAUGAGUGCAUAUUCAUUGUCAGAAAUUUUUAGACUAUUCAUAAGAUAUAUGCCUAAUAUGGUAUGCUAUAAAACACUGGAAAAAGU